rnacentral:rRNA from 1 species
GAGUUUGAUCCUGGCUCAGGAUGAACGCUGGCGGCGUGCUUAACACAUGCAAGUCGAGCGAAGCACUUGAAUUUGAUUCUUCGGAUGAUGAUUCAUUUGACUGAGCGGCGGACGGGUGAGUAACGCGUGGGUAACCUGCCUCAUACAGGGGGAUAACAGUUAGAAAUGACUGCUAAUACCGCAUAAGACCACGGUGCCGCAUGGCACAGUGGUAAAAACUCCGGUGGUAUGAGAUGGACCCGGUCUGAUUAGCUAGUGGUGGGUAACGCUACCAAGGCGACGAUCAGUAGCCGACCUGAGAGGGUACCGGCACAUUGGGACUGAGACACGG